ensembl:lncRNA
GGCAUCAACAGGCUUAGUGAGGCUCCUUUUUUUCCAAGCAGUGGCCAAUAGCAUCCAGGACAAGUGCUUCCAUCACAGCAGGAAUGCUUGCAGGACAGAAUUCAAGUGACUUUAUUUUCUCUUUAGAGCAUAAAGCAUACCCAUAUGUGCAAAAAAGAAAAAGCACCCUUAAAAGAACAUUCUUAAGACUGCAAAUGCUUAAUAGCUAGGAAAUGCCACUGGAGAAAUAUGCUUUCUGCUCAUCUUUAAUUAUAUAUAAUAGACUCAUAAAAGGAUAGGGGUGGAAUAGACCUUAAUAUGUCAACUAAUUCUCCCCAACUCAAGCAAGAUUGGCUCUGUCAUCUAACAGUUGUCAAACCUGUCUUUCAAUAUCUCAAGUCCCCAAGAUUUUUUUUUCAAAGAAGUGUGGCUUUUGGGGAUCCUGGGGAGGUUGCAUUAAGGCUUUCCAGAACUGAAGAUCUUCAUCUUAUUAUACAAAUGAAAAGGUGGAUGAGGAAACUACUGUUAAUUAAAAGAAAAGUGAGAUUUCUUUUUUUAGAAUCAGAGUAUCGGAAGUGAGGCUGAGAAGAAAGCAUUUCACCCACCAAAGGAUAUACAGCCUGGAGAUCUGUCUGGAGGCUGAGCAUCUGUAAACCCAACCUGUGACAGUUCGGCUCAUUGUGCAUCUGGUGAAUGAGCGACCUCCCGCCUUACAGCCACUAAAGCAGAGGAAUUUCACCAUCGAUCUGGAGAAGCACUUGAGAGAAUGGGAGUAACAGGGCAAUAAAGAUUGCAAUAUAUCAUCAGACUCAGCUGCUGGCCCAUAUAGAUCAGAGCUGCAUUAAGAUCAUUACAGCCUGCCUGAAGUGAUAUAAAGAGUAAGCCAGCUCUGAGAAGGGGAAGGGGAAGAGCUGCUGAUAAAGAAACAAAACCAAACUAAAGAGGAAAGAGAAAAAUCAACCCCACAUUUUGUUUUUUUUCCAGCCCAGACAAAUGCCUUGAAUUUCCACUCUGCUGGAAGCUGCUGUUGGUGGAACACAUGCACCAGUUAAAGCAGAUUAUUAGGGCCCCACUCCCCUAAGAAACAUCCGUUUCCUCAAACGAAUGAAUUACACA